rnacentral:lncRNA from 1 species
UAACAGAGUUUAUUUAAGGUUUUGAUAAUUAACUGCACAAACAGGAAAACUCUGGCGCUUCUAAAGGGAACUCCACCCAAGCCCAGCUCCAGCAGGAAAUACCAAAAAGUAAGUAUCUAGCACUCUGUACAUUUUUAGAUACCAUAGAAAGAUUUAUUUCUGCCUGAGCUUCUUCAGAGCAUUGUACAUUUUUAUAAAAUUGUAAAACAACACAGCAGGCAAAAGAAUAAAAGCUUUUUCCCUCCUUUAGUCUCAAUAUAACUGUGUAUGAAGGGCGGAGAGCCAAAAAGUUCACAUUCAGAAACUCUGGUGCUAUUUGUAG